rnacentral:misc_RNA from 1 species
GGCUCUCUCAACCCUUUCUUCCAAGUCUUUAUACAGCAACGCCCAGUGUUUCUCUUCUCAGCAACACCACCAAAAGCACCAACCACCUCUCUUUCUCCUUCCCGGAAACAGGACCAACAAGCCCAGGUCUCUCCCCCCAAUCACCGCAGUUCAUGCUGCUGAGCCCGCUAAGAAUACUGUUUCAAUUGAGUCCAAGGCGGCGGUGCCCGUUGCUGCCCCGGGUGCCGGGAAAUGGACGUUGGAUAGCUGGAAAACGAAGAAAGCUU